rnacentral:rRNA from 1 species
GCGGCACUAGCGCGGUGGUCCCACCUGACCCCAUGCCGAACUCAGAAGUGAAACGCCGUAGCGCCGAUGGUAGUGUGGGGUUUCCCCAUGCGAGAGUAGGGAACUGCCAGGC